GAGAAUGAUGAUUGCCUGUCUGUGUUUGCCCAUCACGCUCUUGGAGUAACAAAUUUUGAGGAGCACUUAGAUCUAGAAGCAAUAGGUAAGAAGAUUGUGGAAAGGUGUCAAGGCUUACCUUUGGCAGCUAAAGCUAUUGGAGGUCUCUUACGAGGUCAAUCAACUCGCGAUGCAUGGGAACAAGUGCUAAACAGCCGCAUUUGGGAGGAGAAAAGCGACAUUCUUCCAGCAUUAAAGUUGAGCUAUCACCAUCUUCCAUCUCAUCUGAAACAAUGUUUUGCUUAUUGUGCAAUUUUUCCAAAAGAUUACGAAUUCGAUGAGGAUGAGUUGGUUCUACACUGGAUGGCAGAGGGAUUUCUACAGCACGCACAGGAAAUGAAGCAAAUGAAACGCUGGGGUCAUCGAUAUUUCCAUGAUUUAUUAUGGAGAUCCUUUUUUCAACAAUCUACUUACAAUGAAUCACGAUAUGUAAUGCAUGACCUACUCAAAGAUCUAGCUAAAUCUGUAAGUGGAGAAAUAUGCCUUCAUUUGGAUGAUGAUGAGUUGAAGGGCAUAAAAUCACAUGCAAACGUUCGCCAUUCAGCGUUCGCUUGUCAUGAGUGUGACAGGUACCAAAGAUUUGAAGACUUUUAUGAGAUGAGUAAUCUGCGAACAUUCUUCGCAUUAUCCACUGAUCAAUGGCGAGAUAAUUUUUUAUCUAUUAGAGUGGUGCAUGACCUAGUGCCAAAACUGAAACGUUUAAGGGUGCUAUCACUAGCUCAUUAUUCGUUUGAAGAGUUUCCAAGUUCAAUUGGCGCCUUAAAGCAUUUACGAUAUCUUGACUUGUCUUACAACAGUGAGAUUAAAAGAUUACCUAAUUCACUGAGUGAUCUUCAAAACUUGCAGACACUGAAGUUAUGUUCGUGUGAGAAUCUUAUUGAGUUGCCCACAGGCAUUGGCGCCUUAAUCAAUUUGGCGCAUCUCGAUCUAGAAUUUACGCAUGCUUUGCAGGAGAUGCCAUUAGGGGUAGCAAAUUUGACAAAUCUUCAAACAUUGUCUAAGUUUAUCGUGGGAAAAGGAAGUAAUUGCCUUGGAAUUAGAGAGCUAAUGAAUCUCCCUCAUCUAGAAGGACAACUUAGUAUUGAAAAGCUACAGAAUGUGGCAAGGAUUGCAGAUGCAAAUCUCGUUGAUUUAAAGAAGAUUGAGAAUCUUGGUGAUUUGGCCUUGGUAUGGACCCGUAAAUUGCGUGAUUCACCAUGCGAAGAGGAUCAUGAAUUCCAGGUUCUCAACUUGCUAGAACCUCAUCAAAAGUUGGAAAGGCUUUCGGUUCGGUUUUAUGGCGGUAAGGAAUUUCCAUUGUGGAUAGGGGAUCCUGCAUUCACAAAUAUGGUGGCUCUAAACCUUUGGGAUUGUCAGAAUAUUACCUCGCUGCCACCACUAGGUAGACUAUGUAAACUGAAAUGGCUGAGCAUCAAAGGCAUGGAUGAACUGCUAGAAGUAGGGCUUGAGCUUUCCCCGUCUCUUGAGAUUCUAGAAAUUGAGGAUAUGUUGAAGUUGAAGCAAUGGGCUCACUCUGAUGACGUCAAUGUAGAGGUUACAAGAAAAUUUCCUAGACUACGUAAAAUUUGGAUAGGAAAUUGUCCUAAAUUGGUUGUGACAUUGCCUACCUCCCUUCCUUCCCUUGAUGAAUUGUACAUUGGUAGAUGUCAAGAUAUUAUUCUCGAAAGUGUGCAUGAUCUAUGUUCCCUUCAAACCUUGUCCAUUUGCAGUAUUUCAGCGCUUGAAAAUUUGCAUCAAGUGGUUGCGCAGUCCUUCGUGGCGCUAAAGCAUCUGUGGAUUCGUGAUUGCAGCCAAUUGAUACACCUGUGGCGGGGUUCAACUAAUUUAGACAAACUUUCUAGCUUGAAAUCUUUACAGAUCGAAGGGUGUCAGAAGCUAGUGUCAUUGGUAGGAGGAGAAGAAGGGAAUUUGCCUUGCAAUCUUGAAAUUUUAGUGAUAAGGGAAUGCGAUGGAUUGGAGAUUCUGCCAAAUGGGUUGCAAACCCUCACAUCUCUUAGAGAGAUGAAUAUUCAACGGUGCCGAAACCUUGUGUCCUUCCCAUCUGCAGGUUUACCUUGUAGUCUUAAAAGUCUCCAAAUCCACUAUUGUGAUUCUCUGGAGUCCUUGCCUAAGGGCAUUGUGCAUGAUAGUAACGCCAGGAAUGAGAUGUCUCAUCUUGAGGUUGUGGGUGUCAAUAGCUGUCCAUCUCUUACAUCGGUUCUAGUUGGUGAAUUUCCCUAUUCAAUUAAAAAAAUUGCAAUUUGCUUUUGGACGACACAGCUAUUGGAGUCGUUUCAUAAUAGGUUUUCGCAUCUCACCACAUUAAUAAUAUAUGGGUCUGAGUUGGAGUCUUUCCCAGAAAGUGGAUUGGCCAUCCCCAACCUUAGGGAUUUAAUCAUACGAAAAUGUGAAAAUUUGAGGUUGCUUCCCAAUCAAAUCCAAAAUCUCACAUCUCUUCUCAAGUUAGCGAUAACUAAUUGUGCAGGUUUGGUGUCCUUUUCGGAUGAGGGUUUACCCCCAAACCUUACUUAUUUAUUCAUAUGGAGUUGUGAGAAUUUGAGAUUUCUUCCCAAUCAAAUGCAAAAUCUUACAUCUCUUCAACGUUUACUAGUAAGUAACUGUGGAGGUCUGGUGUCCUUUCCAGAUGGCGGUUUGCCCCCAAAACUAGGUAGUCUUACAAUUUCGCGUUGCAAGAAGCUGAAACAGCCAAUGUCAGAGUGGAUACUCAAUAGACUCACCUCUCUCACAAUCAGAGGGCCAUGUCCAAGUACAGAUAUGGAUUCCUUCCCAGAGGAGAAGGGCCUACUGCUUCCCUCUUCCCUAACCUCUCUUAAGAUCGAAGAUUUUAAAAAUCUGAAAUCAAUAUCCAGGGGCAUUCACCAUCUCACCUCUCUUGAUACAUUAGUAAUUCGAAAGUGCCCUAAACUCCAGUCCUUUCCCAAGGAAGGCCUUCCGAGCACGCUUGAAAGGUUGGCAAUCUUCGAGUGCCCCCUCCUGGAAAGACGAUGCAGAAAAGAGAAAGGAGACUAUUGGCGCUUUAUUGCCAAUAUCCCCUACCAUAAAAUAAAAUGAGGUAUAAUCUUUUUACUUUUGCUUGCAGCUUAAACUAUAACUGAUAUAUGCAACAUUUUGAAGCCAAAAUAGAAUAGAUAUAAAAAAAUUAAUUGCAUUCAAUUAUGUGGUGUUUCAAGUUUCAACCAUAUUACCACAUUCUGUUCAGAAUGGCGGUUGAGAAUGAAUUGGUGGUUGAGAAUGAAUUACAUGUUCUGUUCAGUUGGUUCUAACUCAUAAUGCAUAAAUUGGAAAAGUUUCUAUAGGUUUUAUUCUUUCAUUGUUCCGACACUGACAUGAGCUGAUUUUAUACAUAUCAAAUCUUGGCUGCAAAUAAUGCAAUUGUUUCUUCAGGUCUGCAAAAGCCGUGACUGCUUAGGCCAGGAUCGAGAUUGUCAUAAUCGUCUCAAAUCCAAUCCCUGCUGGUAAGGAUAACGGUUUCAUGGAUUCUUAGCAUUUCUAAUCCUAGGAGGGGUGUAUGGGGGAGGCCUGUUGGUCGGGUUUAGAUGGAUUAGUUAUGUUAAGUUUUUCAUGUUUUUAAUAAUAAAAUUUAAUUUUCAAAAAAAAAAAAAAAAAANNNNNNNNNNNNNNUCUUGUUUUUGCUACAUAUGACUACAAUGAGCAGUUGUUGACAAUUUAUCAGAGAAGAAUUCUGUUUCCUAUGUUGAGAUACUUAUAUGAGCAUAUUUGUUUAUUUAUUGACAAAGAUUUAAUGCUCUGGAAGUAUUAUUUAAAGUGAAGAAAGUUUACAGACAUUGGUUGAGAAUUUUUCAGAUGGAAAUUAUCCCUUUUUUUUUAACUGGAAUAGGGUCCGUCCUUCCUACAAAACAUCUAGUCAAGAGUCAACUGAUCUCAAAUGACUUGCUAUUCAUGCAAACAACAGCUCGUCUGCACUGAGAUGCAAAUAACUAUAUUGGCAAUGUGACUUUAUGGAGCAAAAUCUGAUUCUAAAUGAAAAAAUUACAUCAAAAUAAUCUGUAUGUUUCAAAAUCUAAUAAUAAUUUAUUUUCUUUUUCUUUAUGGUUUGUUGAUUAUGAAAUUUUUGGAAGAGGUUUGCCAAGAAGAGAGUGGUGAGUAAGUGAGAUUGUCUUGCAGGCUGAAAGGCAGGCACCUCAUGUCCAGCCCCUCUCACAGUAGCAUAAGUAAUGUCUCCUUUAUAAAUCUCAGUAUACCCACCAACUUGAAACACAAACAUUCAAACACAAACACAACCAGAAUUCUUAUAAUCUGAUGUUCUGUUAGAGUAUGAAAAGCCUACUCCAACAGGACACUCCAGAAACAGAACAUUUGCAACUGAAAAAAAAAAAAAAGAAAAAUUAAAAUUAAAAUAUGCCCAAAAAGAUUUAUUGAAAUGUGCAUGAGAAAUGUAAUUGUUGGCACACUAUUAAUUUAAAUUUUGAAAAUUAAUUUUUCAGAGGGAAUUCAUUAUUUUUUAUAAAUAUUAUUAUUAUUAUUACAAACAGAUAGUCCAAUUCUUUAAGUUAUUUCAAAAGUAAAAUAAUUAAGGAAUUACCAUUAUUCCAUGAAAAUCUGUUCUUGUAAAGUGUUUUGCCAUCACUAUAUACUCGAAAUGGUCCAAGCUCUUGCAUCAACCCAUAAGCCAGAGAUGAACAACCAGGGCCUGUAAAAAUAUUAAUGAUUGCUUUAAAUAACAGACAGUAAUAUUAUACAUUCAAAUUAAAAUUUAACAUAAUAAAAAGAAUACUAUUUUCAGGAAAUAAAUAAAUUUAGAACACAAAAGGGAGAAAAAUGGAAAAAGAAUACACUAAAUACCUCCAUUUAGCCACAGAAGAAGAGGCAAAGAUUUCUUAGAAAUUUCUUGAGCUUCAGCAAAAUAAUAAUAUAAGGCUUUUCCAGCUAAUUUAUCCACAGUAACAUAACCUCCAUAUUGUGAAAACUUAACUUGAGGUUGGCCAGCCAAUCUUUUGAUCCUAUCUUUUUCUUUAUCUUUUUCAUUUUCUUGAUUUAUAGUAAUAAUAGAAUCAAUUGUCCUAAAGUUGCUUGUGUCCAUACCAGAAUUCCCAUUAAGCUUGGAUUUGUAAAGAUUGCCAAGAACUUCACUUUGCCUCUUGCUAUGGCUCUGAGAUGUUAAAUAAGAAAAAAUGAAAAAGAACAGGAAUAUCAAACAUGGGUUUUUCCCCAUUGCAGGAAAAGGUUUUAGGGUUUUUGAUUUUUUGGAAUUUUGUUUCUUGAAUCCAAAUAAUGUGUUUAUAUAAGUAUAGGGGUGUGCGUGUGCGCAAUGGAGAGAAAGUAUCUAUAGAAGGAUUUUGUUUUCUGAUUUUCUAAUUUAGAUCAAUAUUAGUUAUUAUUCCCUCCAUCUUUUAAAAUUAUGCUUGUUUCUAUUUUCACGCAAACUAAUUAAAUGUAAUUAAUAUUUUUGAAUAAUAAAUUUGACCUAUAGGUAGUAGAGGGUAAAAGUUUUUAAUUUUUAAAACUAAAUAAAUAAUAAUUAAUAUUUCUUUGUUUAUUUUAUUUUUUUUAUCAGUUUCAUUUCAUCUGUGGCCAUUUGGGUAUUCUAUAAUGUUUUAUAAGAUUCUUUAUUGACUCAGCUAGUUAAUUAACUUUGUUUUCUAACUAUAUGAUUUACAGACAAGAAUUGCUAUGGCAUUGCCCCAUGCCUGUGUGAGCUGCUACUAUGUUUGUUAUGCAGAAAAUCCUGACAACAGAUUAUUCGAUAAAACAAUCAAAGAACGCCAAGAAUUGAUAAAAUCUGGCCGCGAUGUGGUGGUUCCGACGCCUAGAGUACCCCGGCGGUUUGCAUCAUAGUUCAUAAGCCAAGGCAAGAUUUUUCCAGGAAAAUGUGCAGAAGCAAAUUAAAAUUUGUGGUCACAGAUUGAACAUACUGUCAAAAAUGUACUAUUACUAUAGUCCCUUUCAAUUUGGGGUCCAGUAAUUCAGAAUUCAAGCUAAUCAAGCUAGAGAUGAGACAAUUUAACAUUAUCAUAUUUGCAUAUUCAUUUUAGGAUAUUCCUUAUUCCUUGAUUAAAGAGUUCCUCCAUUAUUUUAUUUAUUUAUUUAUUUAUUUUUGUUCAGUUUUAUGGUAAAUUAAAAACACUUGCCAUAGUUUAAUGUAAUUUUAGUAUCUGUUUAUGCAAUCUCCAUAUGAGUUGUGCAUUUUAUAUUAAUCAAUUCUUUUUUUUUUUUUCCUUAUCAUAGUUAAAGAAUUAAAAUAUGGGUUUUUCUUAAAUAAAAUAAUGCUUAGAACAGAAAUGGUGUGUUAGGUUUGCCUUCAUUAAAAUAUUGCACAAACUUAUCAAAAAUCAAAACAAAAUAAACUAAAAAGUACAAAAUAGACUAUUUUAAAAUACUUCAUGUGCAAUCGUAGAAUGAUUGAGAAAAUAAUUUUUUUAAAAAUUAUUAAAUUAAGUAUAAUCUGAUUGAUUUCGUAAUUUUUUUAAAAAUUAUUAAAUUAAGUAUAAUCUGAUUAAAUUUUUUUCACCAACACCAAGGAUGCAAGUUUUUUUUUUUUGGAUAAUUACUAUAUUAUCCUUAAAUUUUUAUUAAAUACAUUAAUAAGGACUUCGGCUUUCAAAAUUACACUAUUUAAUCCCUGUAUUAUAAUUUUGUUAUACUAUAAGUUCAAACAGUUAGUUUUUUUAUUAAGCAAUUAUGAAAUAUCAAACACCCUUGAAAGUAACUACUAUAUAAGGACUAAAUAGAGUAAACUUAUGAAAAUUGAGAUCUUUAUUAGUGUAUUUCAUCAAACCAUAAGGACUACAUAAUAAUUAUGUUUAGAGGUUAUUUUUGACAUUUCACAGUCACUUAAAGGAAAAAAUUAACAAUUGUAUUUUAUAGUAUAAUAAAAUUGUAAUGAAGGACUAAAUAGUAUAAUUUAAAAUACUAAUAUCCAUACAUAUUCGAGUAAAACCUAGAGACUACAUCGCAAUUGCUCCUUUUUUUUUUUUUUUUUUUUUUUUUUUCCUAAUUGAAAUUAUAUUAGAGUUCCUCAUCAAAUUAGCAACUUCUAAAUAUUCAAAACAGAAAGAUGAAAUGUUUUAUUGAAAUUUGAAUUUAUAAUGUAAUAAAUACCAUCAAGAAAGUCAUCUUCAAAAUUGCAUAAAGCCAUCUCUCUCUCUUUAAAAAGCCAAAAAAGGUUUGAACUUUGAAGGAAUACAUUGAAUAGGACAGGCACUGUGUAUGUAAUCAUAACAUAUAGGAAACUCUUCAAUUAUUGAUUAUUUCUUCCAUGCUCAAAAAAUGAAGAUUUUAUCUAGUGGGUUAUGGAGUAGAUUAGAGGCCAAGACUUUGACUUUUCAUUGCCAUUUUGACUGUUUGUAUUAUAUUCCAACUCUACAAAACAAGAAACAUAAAAUAAUUAAUGAAGCAAUAAAGCAGAGUCCUUUCCAUGAAUGUCUCUCUCAAAUAAAGGCCAAUUAGGUACUUUUUUUGUUUUUUCUUUUUUGAUGAUGCUAUGGCUAGAAGGAUUAGGUGGAGAAGGAAUAAUUUGGAACAUUAACAAUAUAGCAAGAGGAAAAUGCAAUUCAUUUUCCAAAUCACAUAUGCUAAUUUCUUUUGAUUUAACUAAUUAUGAAUGCUUGUUUUGAUUUAGCUAAUUACCAACGCUUGAAUUGAGAUAAUAUUUAAAUAAAACUCUAUUUUCAGUUGCAAUUUCAAAUUUCGAAUAUUGAUCUUAUUUUUUAUUUUAUAAUUUAUAAAAAUUACAAAAAUAUUUAUUGUCUUACAGUUCAUUACAAGAAUUAAAAAAACCUACAAAAAUUCGAAUGUUGGAAAUUAUUAAUGCUAUUUUUCACAUGAUUAAUAUUUUUUUUUUUUGUGCAAUAAGACAAUAACUAUUAAUAUUUCAUAUUUCAUUUAGGCAUAUGGCAAUCUAAUUUAUUUAUAUUUUAAUUUGAAAACUAAAUUAUAAAAAAGGUGGAUCAAUGCCAAUAUGCAUUCACCCAAGAAGUGCAUAUAAAAAUUAAUAAUCUCAAAAAAAUAUAUUAACAAAAAAAAUAAUAAAAAAGAUCAUUUACAUCAUGUAGAUACAUCAAGCGAAAAACUUUAGCAAAUUCUAUAAUCAUUACUACAACGAGUAAUAAAGUAUAAAUGAAAAUAAUAUAUAUAUAUUUGGAUGCCUCAUGCAAGUAUUAAAAGAAAUAAAAGCAAAGAAAUUUUUAAAUUUUGAAUUUAUUCCAAAUAUGAAAAAACCUAUAUUUGCAUUUCUAGUAUCAAUGAAAGAUUCUAGUAAAGAGAAACUGCAAAUUCGCAUGCAUGGAUUAGUUUAUUCUCUCAUUUCUUGAAUUUCCAUACUCUGAUGUACUUGCUAUUGUGUGUGGUAACCACCUUCUUCAUUCCAACAGCCAGGCAAGUGAUUGAAGGUCGAGCACUUCUAGGAAUUCGAUCAAUGUUGAUGUCACUAGGGAGUUUUCGCCCUUUUCUUCUUUCAAUUACUCCAUGUGCAUAUCUAGAGGAGCUUGAUGAGGUAUCAUGGUCGACAGUAUAGCUCGAGAGAACAACUCCUGAGUCCUGAUCCAGAAUACGCAGCACCCCGUCUAUUCCACCGGCUACUAAUGCUGAUUUGUCAUUUGUCAGGUGCUGCAAAGAAUAUAUAACAUUUGGACUCACUCGUGUCUCCCAUAAUUGUCUCAUCAUCCUGCAAGAUAACAAUAAAAAAUCAAAUUGCAACCAUGGGCAGGAGCUCCUAUAACAAAUAUGCCAUAGUCAGUUUCGACCUAAUACUGAAAUAAGGCAAGAACAAAAUCAAUUAUCAGAGCAGCCAUUUUGAUAAUCAACCCUACAGAGUAACAGGAUAAAGCCUCUGUCAUGUUUACUUCUGCUACAAACUAGCUAUGAUAGUACAAGUCCUAGAACCUAUAUCACAGUUUCGCUCUGGAAGCCUACUCAAUCUGUGUAUGGAUGACAGGAUACGUCACAAGCAAAUGUCCUAGCAGCAGAGUAAAGAAAAGAAAAUAGCUUGUCAAUAUCUCAUUCUACAUUCACAUAGAGCGCAACAAUGAAGGCCACCGACAAAAAUUUAGGCUGGGUCAGAAUUCAAAGUACACUAACUACCCAGUCAUCAUUUUUAACUCUGGCAGAAACAUCUAAUUUAGUGAUUGAAAUAUCCUACUUAUUGCUACCACAGAUAUUAUAUUACGGAGGAAUGAAAAAUAAAAGUUAUUCAUCUGGGAACAGUGAAUUGAUACCUGAGGUCCCAACAAGAUGUAUAUCCAGCUGUUGUUCCAGCAAACACUAGAUGAGAACGAGGGUUGAAACAUAAAGUCUUUAUGCCUGUACCAGGAAGUUGAAUCAGAAAUUCAGAAUUAUGUCAAGUCGCUUGUAAUGUGCAGUGCAUUAUUAGUUAAAGAGAAGGUGCAGUGGAAAAUUUAUCAUGUCUCAAACUGGCAGAUUAGGAAUCAAGAAAAGCACUCAGAGCCUGAAGAAGAAGCUGCAAGGAAACCACUGUUUUUUUCUUAUGAAUAUCUCAUCUGUUAUUAACCAAAAGGCAAGAAAGCAACUGCUUAAAAAAAGGAAUGAAAGAAUAACUGUAAAGAAUGCAAGAACACAUGAUGAGAAUGCAAUCAUAAUCGUAGUUAUUCUUGAUAGAGUGAAAAACAGUACGACCUGUAGAAUCAGUGGAUCUCAGUGUAGCUGCCCACUUAUCAGAUGAAUAACCAGACACCAUGAUCCUCCCUAGUGACGAACCACUAAGAAUUAACUGAUCAUCCCCCAAACAUAAGCAAGUCACAGGCUCUGGAUGCAUCCUACAAUUUGGAGAUGAAAACAUAACCAAAAAGAAUCCAUACAGAAAAAAAUCUUUAAAAAAAUGUAAGAAAUCAGGUUCUAACAUAACAACAACAUAAUAAGAAUACAGUCUACUGUCUUCUAUUUCGCAGGCAUUCUUCUACUAAACAAUUUAUUCAUUUGCCAGUGUCUAAUAGUCUAUCCAUUUUUCGCACACGUCCAGAAAUUGAAAUGGCUUUCCAAGAAUUAAUUGUCUGACCAUAACAGACCACCUUCUCUUGUAUGUUCACUCAAGUAAUAGAAUUUAACAUCCGAUGAUCUAAUGCACGAAGCAUCCGAUGUUUGUGGGGCUCUAGAGGGGGUUGAUGAAUAACAUCCAAGAAAAUUUUAGCUGUACAUACCUAAUGAUUUUAGAACAUUUCCUACUGUACAUAUCAAAAACACGAGCUGUCCCAUCCUCACAUCCAACAACAGCUUCUGGAUCAAAGUAACUUCAAGCAAAGAAUACAUCGAGUUAUUGGUCUGCUCAAAAGAAACCACACAACCUUGCACAAAGUUGAAGUCUCAAGACAAUUCAACUGUGAAAUAAAUGAAUAUAAAAUCCAGUAUUGCUCCAAGAAACAUUAGCAUAAUAACAAAAUUUGCUUCUGUCCCGCAUGCAUAAACCCUUCAUAAACGUGCCUUCACGAGAGGGAAAUGUAGUCAUCUUUCCAUUUCGCCUCCAUAAGCAUAUUCGUGUGCCAACCAAACCAACAAUCUACAAGAACAUGCAUUAAGCAAUUGGGAUAAAAACAGACACAUUACAUCAAUGCCUCCCAAUAUGAGAUACUUCAGAAUAAUGACAAAUUACUAAAGGUACCUUGCUCUCAUCAAAAUCAAAGUCAAUUAAGGGGCUUGCAUCUUGGAUUGAAUAUUCUUCCAUACAAUUGUAUGUUUCUAAUGACCAGAGACGCAUAACCUACCAUGAUAGCUAUACAAAAGUCAGCACAAUUGAGUUAUAUAACAUAUAUCACAUUUUGAUUUAGGAGAACAUCAGAGAUAUGCCACAGAAGCAAUCACAUCAAAAUAAGUUUAAGUUCUAGAACAAACAUAUAGCUAGCAAGUACUUUAGACAACUUUUACUGGUGUCAAACAUGACAUACGAAACAUUGUGUGUGUGUGAACAGGUCGAUAAUUAGACUAAAGUCAUCAGUAACAGUAGGUUAACGCCACCAUUUCAAAACUAUGUAAAAGAGAAGGUCACCAAAAAUUCAAAUGGAAGGAUAUUAAAAGGUGUGGAAUCCCACCAAUAUUUCUUUAAUUUCUCCCACUGCACCCGAUUUGUAAACGAAUUUUUUAAAACUAAUCCAAAUAAAUGAGCUUGUUAAUUCACAAACUAAUCCACUACUCCAAAAUUGAGGUUGGCUAAAUGAGAUUACAAUAUCUAGUCGUCUAUCCAAGAAAUCAAACAAAACACAAACUAAGAGCUUGUUUGGCAUAAAUGAAUUCCAUGAAAUUUCAUGGGAUUCAUUGACAUUUACAAAGCCAAUUUUUCAAAUUUGGUAUAAAUAAAAAUUCAUUUGGAAUUCCAUGUUUUAAAUUCUACAGAAUUGGUUUUUCUUGAACCAAAUGCUACAAAAAUUGGUAGAAUUUGCAAAUGAAUUCUCAACUUUAAAGGAACAGAAGUUACUAAAGGUAAUGAAGUUUAAGUACAAGACAUCAAAACAUAUUUAGAAUGAAUUCUAUGAAUGAUCCAAGCAUGAAUUUCCAUUUAUCAAUGAAUUUUUUUAAUGAAAUUCAUUUGCAAAAUGGAAUGAAUUCCAUAUGAAAAUUAUUCCAAAACUAUGUAACAGAAAUAGUAGAGAGUCAUCCAAUAGAAUCUGCUUUAAUAAAAGGGUAAAUAACAAAUAUGACUUAUAAUAAAAAACCCACCUAUCAGACACCAUAUUUAAUUAAAAAAGUGAUCAUACCUUGUCCCCCACGCCAGUAAGAAGCAAGCCCAUCUUCAUUCGACACUGAUCAACCCUAAUACAAAGCAAGGUUAGAGAAUUAACAUAUACAAGCUGCAAACUCCUGCAUAUAUAUACCCACUAAAUAAACCCCACAUAUUACUCAAAAAAAAAAAAUCAACCUUUUAUUAUUUCGUCAUCUUUCCAUAAUAAAUUUGAUACCAUUUUUAUCAACUCAACAGAAAAAUAAACAUAAAAUUGUAUUCAGCUGAAAAUUAGCUGACAAGAAAAUAAAUGGGAAGAAAAAAAAGAAGAGGAGAAUUUCAAUAAUUACCCAAGUGAAUGGCCUUUCCAUUGGUCAAUAUCAACAGAAGAAGCUUGAACUAAAGAUUGUCUAUGAUGCUUCAUAGCUAGCUCCUCAAAGUACAUAUUUAAAGUCCUCUCUGAACCGCCAUCAAUAUUUGAAAUUCCUAAAUAAUUAUCCUUCUGCUGCUUCAAAUAAAGCGCUUGCAGUAACUUUGAUCCUUUGAUUAUUGUAUUCCUUUAAAUGCAUAAAAGAGAAUAAAAAAUAAAACAAAAUUAUACACAAAUAUUUGGGGAAGGCAGAGAGAAGGAGAGUAAAACAGAAUUUACCAAGAUUUGCAGACAGCAGAACAGCGAACGAGGUCAAAGAGGUCCAGGACUGAGAAUAUUAUGCAAAGGAUGUCAUGCUCCAAAAAUUGGAUAGUGGUCGGACCUCUCCAGCUCCUCUUCUUCGCCGGCGACCGCUUUCCGCCUGGUGUGGGGCUCAUUAUCUUCUCUGUGAACUGGGUUAAUCAAAUCAUAGAAGAUCAGAGGAAACGAGCGACUGAAAAUCUCACAAAGCUGGAAGGGUGAACGUCGGCAACGACACAAUAAACACGCUCACAAAAUAAACCCAAUAUCAGAUGUAUUGUCGUUUUUAGGUAAUAUAAUUUAUGAGUUUAAACAAAAAGAAAAAUACUAUUUAGUCCCUAGAAUUUCUAAAAUAAAUAUUUCAAUAUAAUAAAAAAUUAAAUUUUUAUUUAUCUAUGUAGUGCAAAAUUUAGAACGAAAGUGAGAAAUUGGGAUGUCUAAAUACAAGUAUAACAAACUGCCAAGCACAGGAUAUUUUUAAUGGUUUACUCAAAGUAAAUGCUUUCUUUACCAUUAACAAUUAUGCAUUUUAGGUCAAACACAAUACCCGUGAUUCAUCACAAGUAACGAAGAGUAUUUGAUUCAGUCAAUUUGGUUAAUUCGAUUGAUUCGGUUAAUGAGAUCGAUUUGGACCGAUGAAUAAAUAUUCGAUUAGAAGUUCGAUUAUUGAAAAACUAAUGCAGGAGCCGCGAGUUCUAAGGGAUAACUUUUAUUUCCCUCAGAGAACUUCAACUCCCCUUCUUUCAGUAGAUAAUUGGCUAUUUCUUUCUCGUUUUAUCCCUAUAGUCUAGGCAGUGGAUUAACAAGCAUUAUGCUUUGCUUUGUCUACCAAUUCCUGUAACUCCAGUUGAAAGAUGAGACAAGACUCUUAUUCUCCUCCCAUCUAUAUACCACAUGUGAUUAUGGGUUAAAGGUUAAAUUAAAAAUUAAUUUAACUGAAUUAAUUAAAUUAAUCAACUUUCAAAAUUAAGUCGUUUGAUUAAGUAUAUAAUAAAAUUAAAAAUAUUUUAUUUUUUAUUUUAAUUAAAUAGUUAUUAAAAUGGUUAAAUUCGGUUGAUUAAUCAAGUUUUCAUUUUAUUUAAUUUCAGUUUAGUUAAUUAAUUCCACCAAAACAGUUUGGUUAAGCAAAAAAAAUUUCAAUUAAUUUAGUUAAAUUAAUGAUAAAAAUUAAUUCGAUUAAAACUGUUCAAUUAAAAAUUAAUUCGAUUAAUUAAAUCAAACUAAAAAUUUCAGUUAAAAAUAUUACUUAAAUACACAAUUAGCGAAAUGCUGACCCGUAAAUUCACAAAUUACGAAAUCGUUUUCUUUUUUAUUUUUUCAAAAAUUUCCUUUUAAGUUUUAUCAAAUAGAAAAAAGAAAUUUUUUCAUUUUUUUUUAUUGAAACUUUUUUAAAUUCUUUAACUUUACAUGAAACAAAGGAUAUGUUUUUUCUCCUCUGGACAUUUUUAUUGGGUGGACAACAAUCCUGUUAAAGAUUGUCUUGUCAACUUCAAUUUGGAUAAAUGGGACCGCAAAUACCAGAAAAAGCUGUUUUCUUCACGUGUUUAUGAAAGUUACCAGAGAGUAGGAAGAAGAAAAUAAAUUGGUAUUGUACAAGAGUUAAAGUAAACGUCCUUUCUUGAAGAUUACAUAACUCUUCUUGGCCAUUUUAGCUUCUCGCUUUCAGUCACCAACCAAUUUUUUUGUUUGCUAUUGCAUCUUCCUUCCUUUGGAGUCUUUGAUAUUGCAACUCCCGUUUCAAUCACCAACCAAUUCUUCAACUGCUCGAAUUUUCUGCUGAAAAUUUUGGUCAUCCUCUCUUAAUUUGUGAUGGAAAUUGCAGUUGCUAUUGGAGGUGCUCUUCUAGCACCUGCCUUUGAGUCUUUGUUUCAUAAGUUAGGCUCCCAGGAUUUGCUCAAUUAUGCCCGUGAAGGACAUGUGCUGACUGAAAUCAACAAGUGGAAGGAGAUGUUGAAGAUCAUUUAUGGGGUUCUUGCGGAUGCAGAGGAGAAGCAGAUGGUGAGCAGGGCGGUGAAGACGUGGGUAAGCCAGUUGAGGAACCUGGCAUAUGAUUUGGAGGACAUUCUUGAUGAGUUUGAUUUUGAGGCUCGGCGAUCCAAGUUGAAAGCUAAACCUGUGACUGGUUCAAGUAGGGUACGAAAGCUCAUCCCUAAUAUUCGUGCUGUUAAAUUCAAUAGAGAGAUGGUUUCCAAGAUAAAGGGAAUUAGUUCCCAAUUAGCAAAGAUCACCUCACAAAGAAAUGAACUAGAUUUGAUAGAAAGUACCGGUAGUUUGAAGGAAAGAAUUCCUGCGACGUGCUUGGUGAAUGACGCCGAGAUUUAUGGGAGGGAGAAAGAUAAGAAGGCGAUUCUUGAACUUUUGAAUUCUGAAUCGACUGAUGGAAGGGUCGCUCUGAUUUCUAUAAUUGGACUGGGAGGUAUUGGUAAGACAACUCUAGCGCAGCUUAUCUUUAAUGAAGCUGGAAAGAAGUUUGAUUUGACGGCUUGGGUUUCUGUCGGUGAAGAUUUUGACGUGGUUAGACUUACAAAAAUAGUUCUUCAGUCGGUUGGUGGAGAUCUUACUUCCAACGAUUUUAAUUCGCUUCAAUUAAACUUGAAGGCAAGGCUGUCGGAGAAGAAGUUUUUUAUGGUUCUAGAUGAUGUUUGGUACGAGAAUUAUGACCAUUGGACAGACUUUCUUCGCCCGUUUGAGAAUGGGGCAAAAGAAAGUAGAAUUAUCGUCACAACUCGCAAUCUUGGCGUUUCACGGACGAUGGGUGCUAUUCAAAGUUAUACACUUAGAGUGUUGGAGAAUGAUGAUUGCCUGUCUGUGUUUGCCCAUCAUGCUCUUGGAGUAACAAAUUUUGAGGAGCACUUGGAUCUAGAAGCAACAGGUAAGAAGAUUGUGGAAAGGUGUCAAGGCUUACCUUUGGCAGCUAAAGCUAUUGGAGGUCUCUUACGAGGUCAACCAACUCGUGAUGCAUGGGAACAAGUGCUAAACAGCGGCAUUUGGGAGGAGAAAAGCGACAUUCUUCCAGCAUUAAAGUUGAGCUAUCACCAUCUUCCAUCUCAUCUGAAACAAUGUUUUGCUUAUUGUGCAAUUUUUCCAAAAGAUUACGAAUUCGAUGAGGAUGAGUUGGUUCUACACUGGAUGGCAGAGGGAUU
rnacentral:lncRNA from 1 species